CCCUUAGAUGUUCUGGGCCGCACGCGCGCUACACUGAUGCAUGCAACGAGCUCUACCCUUGACCGAAAGGCCCGGGUAAACUUGUGAAACUUCAUCGUGAUGGGGAUAGAUUAUUGCAAUUAUUAAUCUUCAACGAGGAAUUCCUAGUAAGCGCGAGUCAUCAGCUCGCGUUGAUUACGUCCCUGCCCUUUGUACACACCGCCCGUCGCUCCUACCGAUUGAAUGGUCCGGUGAAAUCUUCGGAUUGCUGACCAAGAUCCAGCAAUGGAGCUUGGUUGCGAGAAGUUGAUUAAACCUUAUUAUUUAGAGGAAGGAGAAGUCGUAACA
rnacentral:rRNA from 1 species